UACGAAGGGGGCUAGCGUUGUUCGGAAUUACUGGGCGUAAAGCGCACGUAGGCGGCUCGAUCAGUCAGGGGUGAAAUCCCAGAGCUCAACUCUGGAACUGCCUUUGAUACUGUCGAUCUGGAGUAUGGAAGAGGUGAGUGGAAUUCCGAGUGUAGAGGUGAAAUUCGUAGAUAUUCGGAGGAACACCAGUGGCGAAGGCGGCUCACUGGUCCAUUACUGACGCUGAGGUGCGAAAGCGUGGGGAGCAAACAGG
rnacentral:rRNA from 1 species